AAAGCUGGGAACGUCUGGGGAGACGUGCCGGUGAUAAACCGGAGGAAGGCGGGGAUGACGUCAAGUCCUCAUGGCCCUUAUGGGUAGGGCUUCACACGUCAUACAAUGGUCGGGACAGAGGGUCGCCAACCCGCGAGGGGGAGCCAAUCCCAGAAGCCCGAUCGUAGUCCGGAUUGUAGUCUGCAACUCGACUACAUGAAGGCGGAAUCGCUAGUAACCGCGAAUCAGCAGGUCGCGGUGAAUACGUUCCCGGGCCUU
rnacentral:rRNA from 1 species